GACGAACGCUGGCGGCGUGCUUAACACAUGCAAGUCGAACGGUGAAGCGCCUUCCUUUUUGGUGGGUGUGGAUGAGUGGCGAACGGGUGAGUAACACGUGAGUAACCUGCCCCCUUCUUCUGGAUAACCGCAUGAAAGUGUGGCUAAUACGGGAUAUUCUGGGUCUGUCGCAUGAUGGGUCUGGGAAAGAUUUUGUUUCGGUGGGGGAUGGGCUCGCGGCCUAUCAGCUUGUUGGUGGGGUGAUGGCCUACCAAGGCGGUGACGGGUAGCCGGCCUGAGAGGGUGGACGGUCACACCGGGACUGAGACACGGCCCAGACUCCUACGGGAGGCAGCAGUGGGGAAUAUUGCACAAUGGGCGCAAGCCUGAUGCAGCGACGCCGCGUGAGGGAUGGAGGCCUUCGGGUUGUGAACCUCUUUCGCCAGUGAAGCAGGCCUGCCUCGUUUGUGGGUGGGUUGACGGUAGCUGGAUAAGAAGCGCCGGCUAACUACGUG
rnacentral:rRNA from 1 species